GCAGACGCGCGCUCCCCGCGCUUGCUCAGUUUCUGGCUGGCUGUCGCGGCGAGCAGACGUGUGCUCGGGUGUUCCGCUCUCGCUCAGUUUCUGCCUAGCUGAUGAGCAGUCGCUGCGGGGGAAAAGAGCUAUGAUGGUGGCGCCAUCUGGUGUGAUGCCUUGCAACUAAGUGGCCACCUGUCGUCGAUCUCUGCAACUGCUGGGUGCCAACUACUAACAUGGCGGGCGCUGGACACUCGGGUGUUGCGGAGCGGCUUCUUCGCCGCGGCAUCGUUGAUUUUCGAAUAAAUUGUUUCUCUCCA